UGGGCAACCUGCCCCUCUCUCUGGGAUAACCCCGGGGAAACCCGGAGCUAAUACCGGAUACUCCGGCUGGAUCGCAUGGUCCGGCCGGGAAAGGUCCGCCGGAGAGGGAUGGGCCCGCGGCCUAUCAGCUUGUUGGUGGGGUAACGGCUCACCAAGGCUACGACGGGUAGCUGGUCUGAGAGGACGACCAGCCACACUGGAACUGAGACACGGUCCAGACUCCUACGGGAGCA
rnacentral:rRNA from 1 species